GAUGAACGCUGGCGGCGUGCCUAAUACAUGCAAGUCGAGCGAAUGGAUUAAGAGCUUGCUCUUAUGAAGUUAGCGGCGGACGGGUGAGUAACACGUGGGUAACCUGCCCAUAAGACUGGGAUAACUCCGGGAAACCGGGGCUAAUACCGGAUAACAUUUUGAACCGCAUGGUUCGAAAUUGAAAGGCGGCUUCGGCUGUCACUUAUGGAUGGACCCGCGUCGCAUUAGCUAGUUGGUGAGGUAACGGCUCACCAAGGCAACGAUGCGUAGCCGAACUGAGAGGGUGAUCGGCCCCACGGGGACUGAGACACGGCCCAGAGUCCUACGGGAGGCAGCAGUAGGGAAUCUUCCGCAAUGGACGAAAGUCUGACGGAGCAACGCCGCGUGAGUGAUGAAGGCUUUCGGGUCGUAAAACUCUGUUGUUAGGGAAGAACAAGUGCUAGUUGAAUAAGCUGGCACCUUGACGGUACCCAACCAGAAAGCCACGGCUAACUACGUGCCAGCCGCCGCAGUAA
rnacentral:rRNA from 1 species